GAGAGAGAGAGAGAGUUACAAUCAGGUUAAUAUUUAGAAACAACUAACAAAUUAUAUAAAUCUAAAUGGGAUAAUACCACAUGAAAAACCAUCUCUGUUUACUAAAAUUAUUCACCUUCCUCCCAAGGACAAAUUAUCUAUCUUAAAAGCCUAUUACAGAAUUAUAUUCAAGCGUUACACAAUAUGACCAGCACACUGUAUGUUAUCAUAUCUGUCACAGGACAGCAUCUCCACUCUACGUACUAUUAUUCCCUGAUCAAUAAAUAUCUGAGAGUUCAAGCACCCGAACCCCACAUCCCACAGCUCCAAAAUCCCUAAACCAGGGCAAACUUGCGAGGGUACCUCACUGAUUUCCGGUCAGGGUUAAGAGGGUUUACCCAAUCACCUCCCCCCAACCCUCCUCCAAAGGAAUAUUCUCCCAGCAGUUUUCA
rnacentral:misc_RNA from 1 species